ensembl:snRNA U2 U2 spliceosomal RNA
AUUGCUUCUCGGCCUUUUGGCUAAGAUCAAGUGUAGUAUCUGUUCUUAUCAGUUUAAUAUCUAAUACGUCCUCUGUAUGAGGACUACAUAUUAAAUAGAUUUUUAGAACAGGGAGACGGAAGAGGGGCUUGCUCCGCCCGCUCCACGCAUUGACCUGGUAUUGCAGUACAUCCGGGAACGGUGCACCUACU